CUACCACGCAAGUGGAUGCCAAUCCCCAAAACCUCUCUCAGUUCGGAUUGAAGUCUGCAACCCGACUUCAUGAAGCUGGAUUCGCUAGUAAUCGCGCAUCAGCCACGGCGCGGUGAAUACGUUCCCGGGCCUUGUACACACCGCCCGUCAAGCCAUGGGAGCCGGGGGUACCUGAAGUGCGUAACCGCAAGGAGCGCCCUAGGGUAAAACUGGUGACUGGGGCUAAGUCGUAACAAGGUAGC
rnacentral:rRNA from 1 species